UGGUAAUUCCAGAGCUAAUACAUGCAAACAACAUGAAUCAUUCGUAGCAAUACGGGUUGAGACAUGUGCUUUUAUUAGACUUUAAAACCAAUAUCUGCACCUCGGUGUAGGUUUGUUUUAGAUGAAUCUGGAUAAUUAUGGCUGAUCGUACGGUCUUAGCACCGACGAUAGAUCAUUCAAAUGUCUGCCCUAUCAACUAUUGAUGGUAGUAUAGUGGACUACCAUGGUUGCAACGGGUAACGGGGAAUCAGGGUUCGAUUCCGGAGAGGGAGCCUGAGAAACGGCUACCACAUCUAAGGAAGGCAGCAGGCGCGUAAAUUACCCAAUCCCGGCACGGGGAGGUAGUGACGAAAAAUAACAAUACAGGA
rnacentral:rRNA from 1 species